ensembl:lncRNA
ACAAACCAUCCUUUGCGAACAGGCAAUGUUUGUGAGAAACUCCUCUACAGAAGCUGGGGAUAUGGGGAUGCUGUUAGAGAGACAAGCUCUGCUCUGCUGUGGAUGUGUCAGGUCUUACCUGGUUGAGGUCAACAGGGCCAACAGUGCCUAUGAUCUCUCAGUGACAGCCCUGGAGCUUGCAGGGUGCUGGCUGUUCCCAUUCCUUUGUGUGGCUGGAACCAGUUAUGUUAUGCUUCGGGUUGCAUCUCCAUGGCUUAUUGAACUUUCUAUCUGUGCUUCCUUUAAAGAUAAAAGCCUCAAGAGUUGGCUCAAGUGAGCUUGCCCAGUGCUGCAAAAGAGCAGUGGAGGUGCAUGCAAGGAUACUGUUAACUGAGAAGUUGGGCCGAGUUAAAUGGUACCCUUAAUCCCCUUGAUGUCUGGCAGAGUCAAGUUAAAAGGUCUUCCCCACUUGGGGUGAAGGCUUUGCAUGUGUAGAUGCUGGUUCACUUAAGGGCAAUGCUGCCUCUGUGGUGAAAGAACCUUCUUCUCUGCUGGCGUUUGCUUCGUUGCUGAAGGAAGGAGAAACUUCUGCAGUGUCUUGUGUCAAGUGGGGGCCUGGGCUGAAGUUUUGUUCCAUGGAGGCUUUCAACAAACAGCAAGAGACAUGGCAGAGGGCUAGAAACAGGCCAAACAGAUGAAAAUUAAAGUAAAUAUAGCCCUUGUUUUUCUUCUACAAUUACUUUUGUCUUCCUAUUCCAACUGGAUUUGCCAUGGUAUUUCCAUAGCAGAGAUCCACGUUUUUCUCCUUCACAGCUGUUGCAGGCAACAGGAGGUUGUGUUUCCCUAACACGGUUUCUUUUGGUAUUUGGGGUCUUCUUGGGGGGCCUGCUUUUCUUGACUGAUUUAGGGUUUUUUCCCUUGCUGAGUUCUUCAGUUAGUAAUGUUUGUUGCCUCUGUACCAUCCUGGUGGGACAGCUUGGUCUCCUCCAGGAAGAAAACUCAGCUGUGGAAGGGAACAGAAAUUGGCUUCUAUGCUACCCUCUCCUGUUUUGUUGGAGGUCUGGGGAGAGAAGUGUAUGUGUGUACAUAAAACUACAUGCUUCAAAAAAAAUUGAGGUGUUUUUUAAAAGAUAGGAGUAGCUUUUCAUUCACAAUUGCAUGCGUGACGUUGAUGUAUUGGAACAGGAUAUUCAAGAUCCUAAACAGAAUCCUACUUAGUGCUCUGAAUCUUUUGUCUCUGCAUUUCCUCUCUUCAACUCAGUUGUUGGUUUGGGAGUUACAUUUCCUGGUACAACCUUUUAAAGCACAUGUAUUUUAUUUGCAUGUAAAUUGGCAGAGGGAGGCAUCUUCCAUGUAAAUGCUGUGCUAAUCAUUACAGGUUCCAUGGUUCAUCAGGGCUUGGGUUCCUAAUUGGCUGCAGGAUUCCCAAAAGUGUCAAUAGUCUGAUUCAGAGCAAUAGGAAUUAUUGAAUCUACAUAAUAAAAGGAGUGUGAUGAAAGGUGAGUGCACGCCUACUUUGUGUUGUCAUUCUCAUCAAGGUCAGAUAAUUUUUUUCCCUUCCACAUAUACAUAUUCAAAGAGCUUGUGCACAAUUAAUGAGUCGGAAGAUUAAAUGGCUGUGGAUUAAGAACAAACCCUACCGUUCUUCUAAUUAGACUGAAAGUUACUUAGUUCACCUGAUUAGAAUUCGGAAUUCAAACCAGCUAAUGCGCAGGCAAAAUCUGUGUAGAGGCCCUAUGGAACAGGCCAACAGCUCUUUUUGUCCAAUCCCCCCAAAUCUCAGUGCUGCAUCAGAAGGAUCCCCCAGGGCUUCCACCAUAGAAAACUGACCCAGAGCAGGGGGGCUGUGCUGCCAGGGUUACCUAGCAUGUGGAAUCUCAGUCCAGGGUGAAUUUGGUGCCCGAUGUGGAAUAUAGGAGCAGGGACAUUAUUUCUAGUCCCUGGUAAUAGAUGUGUUACCUAAGAUACUGAGAGAAGUCUUUGCUCUUGCAGCUGUCAUGCAUUAAAGUGCCUGCCUUUUUGAAACAUACUAAUGUAUAUAAUUAGCAGUCAUGACUCAAAGAAUUCGUUGCCCGAAGUCCCAAGUGUCAGCCCUCUUCCCCCGAGCCUGGAAGCUGCUUGUUCUGGUCCCCAGGCUUGGAAAGGGCUGCAGCAUCAUCAGGCUUAGAAAACCUUGGGACACAAAUGGCUGUGACUAACAAUAGGCAUGAGUCAGUUUCUUUGCAGUUAGGUGAUUUGGUUUCCUGUUGCUCUGCUGUCUGGGCUGCUUGUUUGGGGGACCAAAUCCUUAUUAACGCUUUAUCUAUAACGUACUCACUUCCACCAAAAGGAAUCCUCUGUGCUUUAUUUUCCUGACUUGUGCUGUGUAUCACUUCCUCCUGCUCCCCAGCCGCACAGCUGCUUGUGCUACAGCUGCCUGUGUGAGGAGUUUUGGCAAUUCUGCAAUGAAUGCUGCUCUGAGAUGCCUGGCUUAGCUGCGUGGCACCCACCAACAUUUGUCCUUUCCUUCUAAUCCCCUGAACCGCACGAGUGUUCAGUAUUUUGGCUUUAGAUCCUUCCUGUUUUUAUUCAGGUGUAGAAAAGAGGAGAAGGGAGGGUCACAGAGGGCUUCUUUAAUCAGAAGAACAGAGGUAAUGAUUUGGGGCACCAUUGUCCUAGUUGUGGUGCUUUUGUUUUUGUCUUUAUUUUUGUGCGGACGUCUAUCUUACCUUUUGUGUUUGAAGGAUGGGAAGGGGCCAAAGUACCGACCCACGUAUUUAACAAAGAGGGCACUGAAUGUGACAAUGCAAGAAGUUUUCACAGGUGUAUUAAAAUAGCGUAAGAUUCCUGUUUCCUUAAUGAAAAUGGGAGCAAUGUGCAUCUUUCCACAACAGAUAUGAAACAAAGAGAACUAAGAAAUGUGUUGGCAUUCAGAAGAGCAGGAAAGUAACACUGUUCCUGUCACUGUUAGAAGAUUAAAAUCCUGCCUGGCAGCCUAUAAACUAUUUAAACGAUCCUACAGAAAUUCCACUUACUGAAUCAUUUUAGGGAUUUAUAGCUAAAUCCUUCACCCCAAUUGAAGACCCAAAUGUACUCUCAGCGCUGCCGGAAAAUGCACCUUAAUGAGGGGAAAUUGUAAAACUGGAAUGAAAAAAAAAAAACCCACCCCUCUUCAGCAAAGAGAGGUCCUUGCUGCAGUCCUUGUUUCACAUGGCCAUUGAGAGCAUGGCAGCUGUGCUGCUGUGAUCAUAUGUGACCUAGAUUUUCCUCACAGUAGUCUUGUGCUCUCCCUGAUCUUGUGUAGGCCUGAAUGAGUUGAAUAGAAACAUUUCUGGAUGCUUUCAGAGAGCAAUGAUAUCUUUUUCUUUCUCUCUUUCUUCAGACCACAGCAUCUGUUCCCCUUGUGGAUUUCUCCCUUUGCUCUCUCACAGCGGUUGUAAAAGAGGACAGGGCUGGCGCAGCUUUAAUUUGGCUAAUGGUGGUUGGGGAAAUCAGGGCAGGUGCAAUUCCUCCUCGGUGUGCUGCAGCACAGCAGAGCGUGAAGCUCUGGUGCAUGUGUUUUAUCCCUGAAUGCGUGCAAAGGGAGAUGAGAGGGCUGUUGGGAAGAUGGAGUGUGAGUGUAUGGCAUCAGGAAGCCCUGUUGGUGUGGGUUUUUUUGUUUGCUUUUUGACACUGUGGGUCUGUGCCUGGCAUUAAGACACCAGGAUGCUGAGGUACCAUUCACGCUGAGCUCAUCUGCCUGGGCUUGGAGGUGACCCUAGAGCAAGCUCUUAAUGGUUUUGGAGAGAAGAGCUGAGGAAGCUCAGCUCCUUGGUGCAUGCCCACACUCUUCUUAAUGCUGUUGGACUGCUUUAGGUAUGGACAGGAAUACAUUACAGACACCCCUUGUUGCAGUAUUGCCAGCAUGGAGGCCGCCAGACCAGUUGGUAAGGUGUGCAGCAAAGUGCAGGAGCCACGGCUCUGUGUGCUCGAGUUUGCCCUUGUACCUGCUCUCCUGAAUGUAGCUUCUGACAUCUAACUUCCCAGCUCUGACAUUGAUGCCAUCUAUACAUGAGCAGAACUCAUAAGCUAAGGCAUUUGGAGGAAACUAGAGAGAGCUGGUUUGAUUUCCCUAGAGGGGAUGGCAAGGCCCUGCAGGAAGGAGGAGGAAAAAAAAAAAGUUGGAGCAAUCUGCAGGGCAGACUGCUAAUGUUUCCUUCCUUCCAUGCAGAUCCUGCUGAGUCUGUUGAGAAUUCAAAUUUCUAGGAUCAGAUGGAAAGAUUUUAAACUUAUAGCAAGCAGCUAGCACUUAGGUCCAGUGGGGACUUUUAGGUAGUGUUCUGAUAGGAACAAAAAUAGGCACCCGUCCUCUGCCUCAGUUCGUAUGGAAAAUGAAAUUAUAAUGAUCCUAUCAUCUACUUUGCAGAAAGCUGCGAGGACAACUUCUCUUCAGCGCUGUCUUCAGUUAUAGAGCUGUUCUGACAGUGGCGAGUGAGUGUUGCAGGUGGUGGGUGGGGGUUCCUUCCGAAAUUUUAUAUAACUCCAAUAUUAUCUGUUCCUGCGAUUGACUUGACACAUGAAUUCAAAACAGUUGGAGCUUCUCUCCCACUCUCAUGUAGCAAACUUGAUGUGAAAAUGACACUUCCCCCUGGGAGCUGAUAGUUUGCUGUUCAGUGCAUGGUGUUGUGUUCCUUUGUUCGCUGAAGGUGGCACUUGGCAAGUGGUUUUUGCCACUUUAGGGUUGUCGAUUCUGUCUGCUAAAGGCCAAGAUAAAGCUUCACGGAAAGGCUUUUGCUCCAAACAGAUCUUCUCUAUAGUGCACGGAUUUGAUGACAAAGGAACCGGGAGCUUAGAAGUGGCUUUGCUUUUUUUCUACCCUCAGUCCGCACUCUUCCCUCGUCAUGCUUUUAUUUUAAUGUGGUAUUUCCUACCCUGCUGUAAACACUAGGGUGGUUUUUGUCUUGUGACUAGGCAGUGCUUUGCCAUGACAUUCCUUUCAUAAGGUGUUGCUGAUAGCACUAGAUGUGCUGCUGGCUGCUUCCAAGGCUUAUCAGAGGGUCUGUACCAAGAGCACUUAGAUAAUCCCGUGAGGGUAUGCAUUAGCAGUAAGAAACCUGUGUGAACACUGUUUUAUAGAUUUGCUACGAAGCCGUUUAAAAUACGUGGCAACAAAUUCAUGGCCCUCUGGUGAGUUGUGGUUUUCAGUAGGGCACAGUGAAGCAACAUAUAUAGGGUGUCCCAGUCCAUAAUGUUUGAAGUGACCUCAGUUACUGACAGUAUAGUGCCAAGCUGGGCAGCAGCAGUUCUUCUGAAGCCCAGGGUGAAAUGCACAUUAGUCAUUAGAAAUGUAAAUAGCAGCGAUGUGAGAAGCAUUAAUAUCAGUGAAGCUUGCUUGGCUCUUGUUUUUACUUCAGACCAUGUUUGUCAUAGUACUCACAGAGUAUCUAAAUACUUCAGAGAUCCUCAGCAGCUGUGAGUUGAGCCAUCUUGGUGGAAUUUGUGGCUUCAUGAAAGUGAAGCUUCACCUCUGUUCACUGAGUUUUAUCCUGUUAUAUAUUUCUUCGUGACACAGCAACAGGAAUCCAGCAGAAUUUAGAAUUACUGUGCUUUCAAAUUAUAUGAAAAUGGUCUGACCUGAGUCAUAAAUCAAUGGGUUGGCUUUUUUUUUAUGGGCUUCUGUAGCACAGAAUACAAAUCACAAGCCACCCAAAGACAGUGGAUCCUAUCUCUGCUCACGGUGUUUUCCCCAUGCGAUUUGGCAGUUGUCUGAAUGCUCAGAUGCUAAUGGUGCAAGAAGAUGAUGUACAUAUAGGGAUGAGGCUGAAGCCGUGAUUCAUGUGCAGUCAGAAACACAAGGAAACUUUUGUACUGAGGGAACCUCUCCUGUGUAUUGUCAGGCCUGCUACAACCUCCAGCUGCCAGAACAAACUCUGGGGCAGUGGAAUAAAUACCUCAAUAUAGGAAGACAGCAGUAACAUGCAACAGAUCUGUGAAGCUACAGCUAAAAUACAUGUGGUCCAGCAGUGGACCCUAUUAUAGUUAGUGGAGGUUAUUCUAGGGACUUUGCAGGGAUUGACUUCACAAAAUGAUAUAAGAGACUUAACAGGGAUGGAAAAGGGCGUUACCACACUAUUCAUAACACUCCUUGUUAGAAGUUGCUAGCUUCUUCCUACAUAAAAUGAAGGAAGCUACAGGUGAUGGAAAAAUAAAUUGGUCCCCGUGGGCACAGUGCCUUGACUAUAUAGAGAGAUAAGGCAGAUGUGUGCUGAAGUGCAGGUGAAAUGGCCACAGCAGUGUGAGGAGCCUUGGGUUAUGGUACGUGAAAAGCAGUGAUGUUGGAGUGCUGCUCAGAAGUGGUCAGGAAUGCCACAUUUUGUGCAGGCUGAGGCUAAAAUAUACCCUUCCAAGAACACAGAAGUUGCUUGUUGGAAGAGUAAAUGGCAGAUUGUUUGUGUGUUCCUGAAUUUUCUACCCCCUUCUCACAGCAUUACCUCACAGUGUGGGACUUGCUGAAGCUAUAGGAGGGCACUGUGGUACAGUGAGGAACGGGAUGUAACUUUCUGCAUUCUAAGCCAAUACCUCAUUGCUGGUUCAUUUUGUGUGCGUUUCUGCAGCACUGAGCUUGCAUGUGGUGCUGCAGAACGUCUGCAGCUUUUCUAACCCCCAAUACUGCUUUGGCUUCAGUCUGAUUCGCAGCUAUGUGGGCAGGGAGAGAAUGUUCUCCGAAUAAAUCCAUCAUAAACACAGUGCCUGUCCUGUAAUAGCUGGGAUCGGAGAAUAACAAACUAAUAAGCCCAACUCUUUUAUUCCUUCCCUUCUUGUAGAUGGCAAGCUAGUAGGUGACUCUCAUACAGCUUGCGUUAGCCAGAUGUGCUAAAGAAGAAAUAUUUGCUGGGUUUGCUUUGGAGUCCACAGCUAGGGUAUGCUUCACGUCUCCCUGGGCAUUUUCUCUUCUCCAGAUGAAGACUAUUUAAACAAGAACUGUUUAGACCAGAGUAUGUCUGAGGCUCCAUAGCCUUGUGAAAGCUUUGUCUGCAGUCAUUCAUGGGUGUUGAGUACCACCUAACUUCACAGUGCUAAUGCUGUGCCCAUGUGGCCAGAGAACAGCUGUGACUGGGCUGUGUGUAUUGCACUUCUGUAGGUUUUCUGGUUGUGUAUGAGGUGACAGAAUGGUGACAGAGUGAGCAGACUUUGGAGGAUCUGGCUUUGCGUUCUGUGAUGUUCAAGUCCAAGCAAAAUCUUGAGAUCUGAAAGCACUUGAGCUGCUUUCAACACUGGCUCUGCUGCUCAGAAAGAACAGAGCUUUUUGUGGUCUGUGGGGAGUUUUGUGAAGCUUCUCUCAUCUGUCUUACAAACAUGAAGGUUCUCUCUUAAGAUUCAGGUGCAUGAUGUUAGGGAAUAAAUGGCAGAAGGGAAUCAGCCUUAGGGAGUUAAUUUAGAGCCUCCUUUUGAACUGCAGCAUAUGAUGCUCUUCUUUAGCUGUAGGACUCCAAGUUCAGCUAGUGUAGUCUGUGCUCUUUCUGAUGAUAGUGUGCAGGCUCAAAUAAGUCUGAGAAGCAAAAUGUCCCCUUCCAAAGGUGACUGACCUACAUUUGUGAUGCUGAAAAUCCAUUGGAUGCCACAGCAUUGCUGAAAAGCAUAGACAACUUGAUCUGGAUGUUCGGGUUCAUAUCUAAAUGGAACAGGCUGCCUUCCAGCUAUGAAAAAGAAGGCUUCCCAUGAUACUCUGAAGGCCAAUGGAUUUGCAAGAACUACUGUAUUUUUAUCCAGGCUGUUUUUUUAUUGUGUUAACCAUCUCAUAUAGCUCUGUAGCCUGAAAUGAAUGCCAUGAUAACACAAUGAAUUGCAGUUCUGUUCAUGAGACCCAUGGUUAUGUUGCAUUUUGGCAGAACGAGUCUAUUCUGCUAUGGCUUAGCUUCUCCCCAGUUAUCUAUUUGUCCUGCUUGCUGCAUCCAACUGAGUCCCUGAGGGAGCUGAUAAAUUCCCUGCAAGUUACGCAGCUCUCACAUCUGUUCUCUUUUCUUCCUCACCAUCUUUGCUCUGUGCAAAUUACACUCAGAGGUUUUGCAUGGAGAUCACACAGGGCAUAUCUACCAAGCUCUAACUUGUCCCUCAAGUUAUUUUUUUCUCUGUAGCUUCUCUCCCCAGGCUCAGUAGGCCAAAUGUCUCUGGCCUCCACAGGCUGAGGACAGAGUUAUAUCAAGAAAAUAUUGCCUUAGACUGAUUUGUCUCUCCAGCCCUUUUCUUCUGUCUCCAUGCAUUCUCUGUCUGGUGCAUUGCAUUUGGAGACAAAGAUUUUCAAUAGUGUUCAGGUAACACAAUGGUGGAAUACAGCACUUGGUAAGUAGACCACCUGUAAUCUUAUUUCACAGCUCUUUCUUAUGCUUACAUCUUGAAUUUGAGCUGUGGAUUUGCACAUUUUCCUUCUGCAGCACAGCCAUCCUGGUACAAAGCCUUGGCUUGAUUGUAUGUAACAGAUCCUAGAAAGUUACUUAGAUCUUUAGUUCUGAGCUUGGCACUAAUAAUGUGGCACGAGCAUUUUUCAAUGCUGUUCUCAUUAUGAAGGUAGAACCUCUCCCUGGAAUGCUACAAUCAUUUUUAGAAAGGAAGUGGAAGCAAUAAGAGUGAGUGACAGCUCUCGCCUUAAACCCUUUCUAUUAAGUGACAGAAAGGAUGCCAUUUGCUUCCUUUGCAAAAAUAAUGUAUAAAAUAGUGUUAGUGAUACCUCAGAAUGCCACAUUAAGAGUGCUACCCAAAGGCAGCCUAGGUAGCUGUGAGAAUGGACAUUGUUCUUAUUCAGUUUCAGAUGCGGUAAGAAACUUACCUUCCAGGCCUGAAGAGAGGACAGGCUAUUCUGGGAUGGAGCCUCUUCCCAUUGCUUGGCUGCAUGAGGCUGUUAAAAGAAAAGAGAAAUUCAAAAGAGAUUUAGCAUCUUUUCUGCUAUUUCCUGUUGAACAUCAGCAGAGCGCGUUGACACCGGCAGAAGUAAUCUGACCUACGGGAACAUGCCUUGUGAGGCAGCGCCAGUGAGAGUUUGACCUCAGGCAUCCCGAUAGCGUGGUGUGUGUGCUGUGGCCGUGCUGGCUGACACCAUUUGUCCCCUGAGAGAUACAAGGCUCCCCGGUUAGAGGGUGAGGUCUAAGAGGGUGGAACUGGAGACCAUGGAAAGAAGCAAGAGACAAAGUGACUAUGAACAGGGAAGGUUUGAAUUCGGUCUUCACUGGCUCUAUGAGUUUCUGCAGGAGCUGACUGUGACACCUGACUACCCAGAUGGAAUUCUGAGCCUGAGAGGUCUAUAAGAACGUAUGUGUUUGUGCCAUCCAACUUCCUGCAGCAGAUGUGAGGCUCAAUGUGUCAGCUCAACCUCAGGGGCAAGAAAAAGAGAAGUUGAAACUGGUUUCUUCCAUCUGAGAUGGCCACAGGCGAAGAGCAAACACACUUGGUCAAUUACCGUGGCUCAGAUGAUGCAUGGUAUUGCCAUUUUCAGGUCAAAUUUUAGAGUUAGUAGGAACUUUUCCAUGGGCUUUGUACAACAAUAUUCCACUGCGCACAGUGAGAAGUUUGAACACCCUUCAUUUCAGAGUCUAAUUUUGAGAUGAACUUGUAUCUUUCUUAAAAAAACAGUGGAAACAAACAAAACAACAAGACCACCAAUAGCAAAAGAAAACCACCGGCCCCAAACUUUCACCUUUCUUCUCAGCAUGAGAUACUGACCACACAUACUGCAGUCAAAUAUAGAAAUUAAACCUACAGGAAAAAGGAUGUCUUCUCUUUAAUCUCUUGGAGAAUUUUCCAGACUAAAGCAUAGUUCUUAAAUUGAUAAUAUCCCUUUAAGAAUUUAUUUGCCAGGUAAUGUUAGAAGAAAAAAGAGAUUAGGGCUAGUUUGAACAUUAGAAAGGCCCUUUUUAAAAUCAAUUUCAAGUCUGUAUUAGAGAUGAGCGUUGUCUGAACAUGCUUCCAACAGAUAAAAUAUAUUCUGCACCUUAGGAACGCAAAUAACUUGAAAAUCCUUGAGACUCCCAGCUCUUUGCAAAAAGGUCAAACUCUAUCCUAAGAAAUAUUUCAUUGCAUAGAAAUAAUGGUUUAGUGUUGCCGUAUAUGAAAGUCAGAAUCUGUAAGGCUACGAAGUUAAUAACAGAUCAAGGGCUGAAGUUUUUGAAUAAUGUAGUAAAUAUUUCUUAAAUGAGUGAAAUGAUACGAUACCACGGGAAGAGAGAAAUGCGUUUUAAUAAAGAAAAUAUUGAAUGUAAGAAUAUUUCUUUAGAUCUACCAUGCAAUCUGUGUGUUCUCUAUGAGAUGUCAAACUACACGGUGCAUAUGUACACUGCGCUCUCUAUAAAUAUACAUGUGCAUGACAUAUUUCUGAAGGCAGUAAAUGAAUGCUGGGGAAAUACGGCAACAAUGAAGUUCCUAAGAGAAGGUUAGUUUUUCAAGUUAUUAAAAGAAGGUGGCAAGCAUUCAUGAGGAUAUGAAAAUUUAAAGCUGUCUGCAGGAAACUCUGAAAACCUCUGGUUAAGGCUGCUGCCAAAAAAUCUCAGCUAUGUUAUGUCAGAAUAUUUAAUUGCAAGCUGCAAUUUUAAUGAAUGGAAAGAUAUGGCAAAAGGAGGAAGUUUUCUGCAGCAACACAGAACAGCCAUGAAAAUAAAAUGCCAAAGGUUGUAAUCUUGGACGCUGUAGGAAUCAGGAAUUUCCAUCCACGUUCUGACUCCUUUUCCUACUGUGAGAGUUUGCCAGCUGCCUGGCUGAAGGGAGGUAAGCUGUUCUGGAUAUCAUCUCCUGGGCUCAAGGCAGCACUUGUUAUGUCUAUGUGAAGAAGUCAACUUCUGUGCAUUUGUUGUUACGGAUGUUUACCGAAAUGCAGCUUAGGAAUAGGAGAGGAAAAGCAAAUGUCAGAGUGCAUUAAAUAACGUAUUUUCUUUACUUUCCAAGAAGCUUGCUAGCAGCAUGAUGUUACUAUUUAUAACAG